UGGGAAAUGAAGCUUUUUCUUUUAUCCUUAGAGCCGCUUCUAGUGCCAGAAACUGCACCAUCUGCUGGUGAGAUGAACAAAGGAAUCCAAGAGAGGAAAAGUGAAGGUUAUCAGGAUGGGUGGACAUAGCAGUGAGCACCAGGAGCUGACUGCACAGAGCUGCAGGGCUGAGCAGUAGUGGCAGAGGCACAGAAGAAGCACCAGGUGGAGCUCAGCCGCUCUUUUUACCUUGGAAACCUUCCUAUAAAUCUCAGCCUCCCUAUGUAAGACCAUACAUUUUACCAAACACCAUGUUGUGGGAACGUCCUUUGAAUUUAAUGCCAAACAACGUUAUGCUGUGUGUGGUGCUGUUGUGCCCAUGCUGGUAGACACAAGGCCGUGUCCAGGCACCCCAAGUGUGGGGACAAGGCCUGUGUCCCUCACUGACAGCCUGGUCACUCCACCAACCAGGCCAUGUUCCCAAGGCUGAUCUUGCUUCCACCCAGCUCUGCCAACCCUGGGCUCAGCCUGGCUGCCAGGCACUCAACACAUUCCCUCAUACUGAGCC
rnacentral:lncRNA from 1 species